rnacentral:rRNA from 1 species
UACGGAGGGUGCAAGCGUUAUCCGGAUUCACUGGGCUUAAAGGGCGCGUAGGUGGGCAGGUAAGUCAGCGGUGAAAUCUUUGGGCUUAACCCGAAACCUGCCAUUGAUACUAUUUGUCUUGAAUAUUGUGGAGGUCAGCGGAAUAUGUCAUGUAGCGGUGAAAUGCUUAGAUAUGACAUAGAACACCAAUUGCGAAGGCAGCUGGCUGCACAUAUAUUGACACUGAGGCACGAAAGCGUGGGGAUCAAACAGG